CUUGCGGGGCGGUGCAAGCUGGCGGAACCCGCGUGAGCGGGUAGAGACAGGGUUUCACCAUGUUAGCCAGGAUGGUCUCCAUCUCCGGACCUGGUGAUCCACCCACCUCAGCCUCCCAAAGUGCUGGGAUUACAGGCGUGAGCCACCGCGCCCGGCCACUUAUGUGUUAAUUUAUAAGUAUGUUUUGUCAAUUGAGAGUGCUGAAGAGAUACGAGAAUAUGUUACUGAUCUCCUCCAGGGAAAUGAAGGCAAAAAAGGUCAAUUCAUAGAAGAACUUAUAACCAAAUGGCAAAAGAAUGAUCAGGAGUUGAUUUCUGAUCCUUUGCAGCAGUGCUUCAAAAAAGAUGAAAUUUUAGAUGGGCAGAAAUCAGGUGACCAUCUAAAGCGGGGUAGGAAGAAAGGGAGAAACAGACAGGAAGUUCCUGCAUUUACGGAACCUGACACGACUGCAGAGGUUAAAACACCUUUUGAUUUGGCCAAGGCACAAGAGAACAGCAACUCCGUAAAAAAGAAGACAAAGUUUGUCAAUUUAUACACAAGAGAGGGACAGGACAGGCUUGCAGUCCUGCUCCCUGGUCGCCACCCUUGUGAUUGCCUGGGCCAGAAGCACAAGCUCAUCAAUAACUGUCUGAUCUG
rnacentral:sRNA from 1 species